rnacentral:rRNA from 1 species
CGCGUAGGCGGCCUUCUAAGUCAGACGUGAAAUCCCCCGGCUUAACCUGGGAACUGCGUCUGAUACUGGGAGGCUUGAGUAUGGGAGAGGGAUGUAGAAUUCCAGGUGUAGCGGUGAAAUGCGUAGAUAUCUGGAGGAAUACCGGUGGCGAAGGCGGCAUCCUGGACCAUAACUGACGCUGAGGCGCGAAAGCUAGGGAGCAAACG